GACGAACGCUGGCGGCGUGCCUAACACAUGCAAGUCGAGCGAAGUUAUUCCUUCGGGGAUAACUUAGCGGCGGACGGGUGAGUAACACGUGGGUAACCUGCCUUAUAGAGGGGGAUAGCCUUCCGAAAGGAAGAUUAAUACCGCAUAACAUCAGAUUCUCGCAUGGGAAUUUGAUCAAAGGAGUAAUCCGCUAUAAGAUGGACCCGCGGCGCAUUAGCUAGUUGGUGAGGUAACGGCUCACCAAGGCGACGAUGCGUAGCCGACCUGAGAGGGUGAUCGGCCACAUUGGGACUGAGACACGGCCCAGACUCCUACGGGAGGCAGCAGUGGGGAAUAUUGCACAAUGGGGGAAACCCUGAUGCAGCAACGCCGCGUGAGUGAUGAAGGCCUUCGGGUUGUAAAGCUCUGUCUUUGGGGACGAUAAUGACGGUACCCAAGGAGGAAGCCACGGCUAACUACGUGCCAGCCGCCGCAGUAAUAC
rnacentral:rRNA from 1 species